rnacentral:rRNA from 1 species
UGCCAGCCGCCGCGGUAAUACGGAGGGUCCGAGCGUUAAUCGGAAUUACUGGGCGUAAAGCGCGCGUAGGCGGUAUGAUAAGUUGGAUGUGAAAGCCCAGGGCUCAACCUUGGAACUGCAUCCAAAACUGUCAUGCUAGAGUAUUGUAGAGGGGUGUGGAAUUUCAGGUGUAGCGGUGAAAUGCGUAGAGAUCUGAAGGAACAUCAGUGGCGAAGGCGACACCCUGGACAAAUACUGACGCUGAGGUGCGAAAGCGUGGGGAGCAAACGGGAUUAGAUA